rnacentral:lncRNA from 1 species
GUUUUAUAAAUGGGGUAGGGACCAACUGAAAGACAGGAAAAUAAGGCCCUUGAUGCCAUUAAUCUUUUAUCCUCUUGCCCUCAUUGGUAUCUUCAUCCCACCUUGGGUCCCAGUCCCCUCUCCUGUUCCCACACCACCUGUCACAUGCAAGGGAUGAUGGCUGUCUGCUCCUGGGUCUAUGCUUUGUGGAAGAAGGAUGCUGUGGAGGGAGCAUAUCCAAGCUCUAAAGUGGCAUUCUCUCCCACCCUUUGCAGUUCUGCCUCCUGGGGGCAUUGCUGGCCCCCAUCCGAGUGCUUCUGGCCUUUAUCGUCCUCUUUCUCCUCUGGCCCUUUGCCUGGCUUCAAGUGGCCGGUCUUAGUGAGGAGCAGCUUCAGGAGCCAAUUACAGGAUGGAGGAAGUAAGUGAGGGAUCAGCCCCCAGAGACCCUACUUCUCUUCCCUGCUGUCUAUUCGGCUCCCUCUUUGAGAAGAAGAAAAGAGAGCAUUCUGAAACUAUUCUGUCUAGCUUGGGUAGAUGAGAUGAGUCAGCCAAGCUCAGACGUGGUUCCCAGACCUCACCUCUAAGUAAUGUGCCCUGAUAGGUCCCAAAGUGGCCAGAGACCUUGGCCCCUUGGUCACAUCCUAUUUAAGGGUAAAAGAGGGGUGCCCUACUUUCCCGGUGUCUGAACCUGGGGGCGGGUGAGGGUUAGAACCACUGCUUCCGCUGAUACCCAGCCUUGCCCUGGCAGGACUGUGUGCCACAACGGGGUGCUAGGCCUGAGCCGCCUGCUGUUUUUCCUGCUGGGCUUCCUCCGGAUUCGCGUUCGUGGCCAGCGAGCCUCUCGCCUUCAAGCCCCUGUCCUUGUUGCUGCCCCACACUCCACUUUCUUUGACCCCAUUGUUCUGCUGCCCUGUGACCUGCCCAAAGUUGUGUCCCGAGCUGAGAACCUUUCCGUUCCUGUCAUUGGAGGUGAGAGAGUUCAAAGGGGGUGAAGGGCAGGGUGACAACUCUGGGCAAAAAAAGUCAGGAAUGGAGACACUGGAGUGAAGAACUGGCCUCAAAGUGGGGAGGGACUGUUGGCAAGUGAAAUAUAAAUUAACACCAUUAGUCAACCAGUCUUAGAUUCUGAGGGCUGGGACAGAGAGAAGGUGUUGGAGGGAGUUCUGGUCAGUUCUCUAAAAGGACAACUACUAUAAAGGGAUUGUCCCAGGGCAAAGAUAACAGGCCAGGCACGGUGGCUCGCGCCUAUAAUCCCAGCACGUUGGGAGGCCAAGGCGGGCGGAUCACCUGAGGUCGGGAGUUCGAGACCAGCCUGACCAACAUGGAGAAACCCUGUCUCUACUAAAAAUACAAAAAAAGUAGCCGGGCGU